GCUUCAAUAUGGGACAUUUUUGAAAAGUCUUUCCAGCCUCAGACUCCCCAGUGGGAUUGGCCAAGGCCUCUGUUACAACUACGACACUGUUCACCUUCUCUUUCCUUUUCCUCACUUUACAAAUGUGGUUUCUUGGAAGACUUCCCAGAAAACUUCCUGAAGCAAAUCUCAGCCACAGAGAUGAUUUCUUGGUCAACCUAAUCUAUGACAGUUCUUUUGAUUUUUAAUUUUUUUUUUCCAGAGCUCUCUGCUAGAAAACAGGGGAAGAAAAAAAAAUCUACCUUUGACUCAGUUUUGAAAAUGUAACAACUGACAAUCAUCCUCAACUCCUCCCUCUCCCACAAUGUUGGUCUUACUCAUCCAACCAAUAAAUAAACCUUCUCAGGGUGUUUGUAAAAUCUUUCUCAAAACUAUCUAUGCUCCACUGAUACUUACAAUACCUUAGUUUUUCUGAUACCCUAGUUUGAGUUAUCAUUAUCUGCCUUCGCUAAUUUUUUUUCUCUCUUACCCUUUUAAAUGUAUUCUUCCACUGUAGUGAGAGUGAUUUUUCCAACACACAAUGGGUAAAGAACCAAAGCCUUAGCUUUUUCCUAGAGAUCCUGCAUGCGCCUGCCCUGCUUGCAUCUGGAGCCUCAGCAAAGACCUUCCUUACUUCUUCCAACUUGCUAUGUGCCUUUGAAUUUUUGGACCUUUAUACAUAUUGUCUUCUCUGCAUAAAGUUCGUCCUCCAAUUCAACAUAUGUAAAUACUAAAUCUAAGUCCUCUCAUCAAGGAAAAUGGACUCUUAUUCCAAUAAAUGACAUUGUUUUAAGAUAAAACAAAAUAAAAUUAACAUAUAGUUAUAUGCUGACAUAAUAGUUUUUACAAAAUUUACCUAAGCAUUUUUAGUCCUUUAAACUUUCCUUGUCAUUUCUCAGAACCUCAAUGUCAAAAACAAUCUUUAAAGAAAAUAUUUAGGCUGAGUGCCGUGGCUCACACGUGUAAUUCCAGCACACUGGGAGGCUGAGGCAAAAGGAUUUCUUAAGUCCGGGAGUUUGAGACCAGCCUGGAUAAGAUAGCGAGAGCCUGUCUCCUCAAAAAAUUAAAAAAUCAGCCUGGCAUGGUGACAUGCACCUGUAGUCCCAGCUACUAAGGAGGCUGAGGCAGGAUGAUCCCUUGAUCCUAGGAAUUCCAGACCUGGGUGACAAAGUGAGACCCAGUCUCUAAAAUAAUAAUAAAGAAUUGAUUUAUAUCACCUAAGAAAUUCCUAAUGCAUUGUGUCGUGAAGAUUUCAAUGAAAUUAGUCAUUACUGUUAGUUCUAUAAUAUCCCCUGGAAUGUUGUGUCUUUAUCAAAAGUAGAUGUUGGCCUGCUAUAAUGUAUGAAACUUUGUUCUAAAAUCUGUUUUAAAAAACGGAUAAAAGCCAUUAAUAAAAUAUACUCACUUUCACGUCCUCGACAUGAAGGAAGAUUCAAAAUAAAUGAGCAAGUAAAAGAACAUUAAUUAGCACAUAAUUAGCAAUAGCAGAGUACAGUGCUCAAUAAUUUUUAAACAAAUUGACUCUUGUACACGUUUGAGAUGGAAGCAUAGCCAAGUUCUCCUUGAGGUAUGAUUAAUGUCACCCUACUAUAUAAAUUCUCAAAACAACUCUCUUGUUAGAGAGGCAAAGUUUUAUUUUAUAAGGAACAUCAAUAUCAGAAUAUAACUAACGUGUAACAGCAAGAAGGAAGGACAUUUAAAGCAUUACGUCUGCCUGUGAAGUGUAGAAAUGCUGUGUGUUUCUGGAGAUAUAAAAACAAAUAUUUAAACCAGCAGCAAUGAUAUAAUCUCAAUGAAGUCUAAAAUUAUUAGAAAAUUCUAUUAAGACACUACCAUUGUUAGAAAACUCAAAAUAAAUCAAUAUUUGAUUUUGAAAAUUAGAAACCCUAGGUAUGUGACAGCUAAAUUUAUAAAGAAGUAUCUGUAUCAUCUUUCAGACACUGAGUAAAUAUUUAAACUUGACCUUUAGCAGCAUAUAAAAUGUUCUUUGCAAAAUCCCUUAUAAUUUUUAGCUAAGUACUAUAUGAAUUGUUCUAGCCAGCAACAUUUUACUUUUAGCUAGAAAGAGGCAUCAAAAGAGUUGACAGUGACAAGGAUAAAGGAAUCUGAACCAGCAGGUGUCUAAGCACUGUCAUCUCUUCAGCAAAGGACCUGGACUUUGCAAUCAGGAGGAUCUGGGAUAAAUCCUUCCAUUUCUCCUUGCUGGCUGUACAUUUUUGGCCAGUUACUUAACAUUUCAAAGCCUCAGUAAUCACAUCUGUUAAAAAAUAACACAUGCUCAUGGGGUUGUGAAGAUGCAAUAAGCAUAUAAAAUGGAGAGACACAUUCAAAUAUAAACAAUGUGACCCCCAGGACCCACAAUCUUGAGUCUUACCCUAGACUUACAGGGUCCAGUACACAUGAAUUGUGCCUAACUCUCAGCACAAUUGUGAACAUUAUCAUUUUAAAAUUCUUUUUUAGAGACAGGGUCUCCCUAUGCUGCCCAGGCUGGACUGGAACUUGAACUCUUGGGCUCAAGCUAUCCUCCCACCUCAAACUCCUGAGUAACUGGGACUACAGGUAUGUGCCAUGCUACUCAGCAACAUUGUAAUUAUUAUAAUAAUAGUUGGAAGCAACUAUAAUUACUUAAAAUAAUGUUUUUGUUUUACAUACAAAUAUUGGUCCAAAACUGGUCAAGAUGACAAGUGAUUGAAUUUGGUUAUUUCAUACUCAGAAACUGAGAAAGGUUCAGGAGAAAGUCAGAUGAUUCUGGAGGUGAAGAGCAGGAAAGAAAGGAGAAGAGUAUGUGUGAGACAUUGAGUAAGAAAUGCAUUUUCUGCAUUUCUUCUGACUAAUGCAUGACUUCUGACUAAUGAAGUCAAUAUGCUGUAAUAAGCCUGUGUUUUAUGUUUUUAAAUGUCAUGCCCAUACAACGAAAUGCAGAAACCUAAAGGGCAUCAGCAGUGUACACCCACUUAUGGUAAAAAAGCUAUGGUUAUAGACCAGUAUGGGGACCAUUCCAAGUGUGCAGAGAUGAGAAAUUAGGCUGAAGAGAGGGACAAGGGGCCAGAUCUCAAAGGGACUCAUGGGUCACAUCAAGGAGUUUGUAUUAUGGCCAUAAUCAGCAGGGAGCAUUUUAAUCAGGGCAUGUUUUAGUCAAAUUUUGUAUAAUGUGGCUCACGCUAGCAGUGGUGCGAAGCUUAGUUUGGCAAAGUGAGAGACAAAAGCAGGAUAAAUCAUUUAAAACCCUCUAAGCUCCACUUUUCUCAUCUGAAAAAUGGGAUAACAAUUGCCGAUUGCAACUCCCAAAGUUGAAAAUGACAGAAAAUUACAUAAUGUAUAAGAAAGGAUGCUGAAAGAUGUAAAGUUCACUGAAGAAUAAAGAUCAAUAUGUUGAAUAUGUGAUAAUUUUGGAAUGUAUAUCACAUUUGAUUACAGUAGGGAUCAUGAGCAAGUAGUUCUGGCCCAGAGGAAAAUAUUCAGUAGCAAAUUAGUUGACCUCUUUCCAUUUCCAGUUGCCUACCAACUCCACUGGUGACUCAUGAUAGAGGAGAAUAAUUAUAUGUAAUUAUAUUGCUGUGACUAAAUUGACAGUUCCCAUACCCAAAAGCAAUUCAAAGAGGGAAAAAGAAAAAAGAGUCUAGCCUGCACAAUCACUGGGAGUCAAAGUUAAAUCCAUUGAAUCAUUUUGCAGAACUGUGCAAACAGAUGACUAAAUGAUUGGCAGAGAUUGCUAGAGAAGGGGAGCUCGCCCUGCUGGCUCCUUUCCAUUGGCUUAGGUGGUUGCCAUUUCUUCUUGACUAAAUCUUAGUUCUGAUGCCUUUCCUGAUUCAGAGAAGUGAAGGUUCCUGUAGUUUCAGCCUGCUGAACCUCUUCUAUCUCAGGCUCAGCAAUUCACAUCCUUGUGGCUUUUUAAAUUUUUCUCUAGCUCCAGAUUCUGCACUGUAAAAGAAAAUUCA
rnacentral:lncRNA from 10 species